rnacentral:rRNA from 1 species
CCUACGGGCGGCAGCAGUGGGGAAUAUUGGACAAUGGGGGCAACCCUGAUCCAGCCAUGCCGCGUGUGUGAAGAAGGCCCUCGGGUUGUAAAGCACUUUCAGUGAGGAAGAACGCCUGGUGGUUAAUACCCAUCAGGAAAGACAUCACUCACAGAAGAAGCACCGGCUAACUCCGUGCCAGCAUCCGCGGUAAUACGGAGGGUGCGAGCGUUAAUCGGAAUUACUGGGCGUAAAGCGCGCGUAGGUGGCUUGAUAAGCCGGUUGUGAAAGCCCCGGGCUCAACCUGGGAACGGCAUCCGGAACUGUCAAGCUAGAGUGCAGGAGAGGAAGGUAGAAUUCCCGGUGUAGCGGUGAAAUGCGUAGAGAUCGGGAGGAAUACCAGUGGCGAAGGCGGCCUUCUGGACUGACACUGACACUGAGGUGCGAAAGCGUGGGUAGCAAACAGGAUUAGAUACCCCAGUAGUC